CCUACGGGAGGCAGCAGUGAGGAAUAUUGGUCAAUGGACGAGAGUCUGAACCAGCCAAGUAGCGUGAAGGAUGACUGCACUAUGGGUUGUAAACUUCUUUUAUAAAGGAAUAAAACGAGGCACGUGUGCCUUUUUGCAUGUACUUUAUGAAUAAGGAUCGGCUAACUCCGUGCCAGCAGCCGCGGUAAUACGGAGGAUCCGAGCGUUAUCCGGAUUUAUUGGGUUUAAAGGGAGCGUAGAUGGGUUGUUAAGUCAGUUGUGAAAGUUUGCGGCUCAACCGUAAAAUUGCAAUUGAUACUGGCAGUCUUGAGUACAGUUGAGGUAGGCGGAAUUCGUGAUGUAGCGGUGAAAUGCUUAGAUAUCGCGAAGAACCCCGAUUGCGAAGGCAGCUUACUAAACUGUGACUGACAUUGAUGCUCGAAAGUGUGGGUAUCGAACAGGAUUAGAUACCCGAGUAGUC
rnacentral:rRNA from 1 species